rnacentral:rRNA from 1 species
ACGGAAGGCAGCAGUGAGGAAUAUUGGUCAAUGGGCGGAAGCCUGAACCAGCCAAGUAGCGUGCAGGAUGACGGCCCUAUGGGUUGUAAACUGCUUUUGUGCGGGGAUAAAAAGCGGGACGUGUCCCGCCUUGUAGGUACCGCAAGAAAAAGGACCGGCUAAUUCCGUGCCAGCAGCCGCGGUAAUACGGAAGGUCCGGGCGUUAUCCGGAUUUAUUGGGUUUAAAGGGUGCGCAGGCGGCCCGUUAAGUCAGCGGUGAAAUGUCGGGGCUCAACCCGGGCACUGCCGUUGAAACUGGGGGGCUUGAGUACGGAUGAGGUCGGCGGAAUGUGACGUGUAGCGGUGAAAUGCAUAGAUAUGUCACAGAACACCGAUUGCGAAGGCAGCCGGCCAAUCCGCAACUGACGCUCAUGCACGAAAGCGUGGGGAUCGAACAGGAUUAGAUACCCUGGUA